rnacentral:rRNA from 1 species
CAGCCGCCGCGGUAAUACGUAGGUAGCAAGCGUUGUCCGGAAUUAUUGGGCGUAAAGGGCUCGCAGGCGGUUUCUUAAGUCUGAUGCGAAAGCCCCCGGCUCAACCGGGGAGGGUCAUUGGAAACUGGGAAACUUGAGUGCAGAAGAGGAGAGUGAAAUUCCACGUGUAGCGGUGAAAUGCGUAGAGAUGUGGAGGAACACCAGUGGCGAAGGCGACUCUCUGGUCUGUAACUGACGCUGAGGAGCGAAAGCGUGGGGAGCGAACAGGAUUAGAUACCCCAGUAGUCCCUGUCUCUUAUAC